rnacentral:RNase_P_RNA from 1 species
UGCCGGACGGCCGCGCGGUAUCACGCCGAAAGGUAUUAUCGUGAGGAAAGUCCGGGCUUCACAGGGCAGGAUAGCUGAUAACGUCAGCCGCAGGCGACUGCCGGGAAAGUGCAACAGAAAUAAACCGCCCGCUUUCAGCGGGUAAGGGUGGAAAGGCGAGGUAAGAGCUCACCAGUUCCUAUGGUAACAUAGGUCCGCUGUAAACCCUAUCCGAAGCAACACCGCAUGGAGAUCGUUUGCCCGACGCAUAUCUCCGGGUGGCACGGCGUAAUUGCCGGAGCGCGACGGCGACGUCACGCAAAGAUAGAUGGCCGUUCAAGACAGAACCCGGCUUACAGGCAGAGUU